rnacentral:rRNA from 1 species
AGUGAACGCUGGCGGUAGGCCUAACACAUGCAAGUCGAACGGCAGCACAGUAAGAGCUUGCUCUUACGGGUGGCGAGUGGCGGACGGGUGAGGAAUACAUCGGAAUCUACUUUUUCGUGGGGGAUAACGUAGGGAAACUUACGCUAAUACCGCAUACGACCUACGGGUGAAAGCAGGGGAUCUUCGGACCUUGCGCGAUUGAAUGAGCCGAUGUCGGAUUAGCUAGUUGGCGGGGUAAAGGCCCACCAAGGCGGCGAUCCGUAGCUGGUCUGAGAGGAUGAUCAGCCGCACGGGAACUGAGACACGGUCCAGACUACUACGGGAGGCAGCAGUGGGGAAUAUUGGACAAUGGGCGCAAGCCUGAUCCAGCCAUACCGCGUGGGUGAAGAAGGCCUUCGGGUUGUAAAGCCCUUUUGUUGGGAAAGAAAAGCAGCAGGUUAAUACCCCGCUGUUCUGACGGUACCCAAAGAAUAAGCACCGGCUAACUUCGUG